ensembl:lncRNA
ACAUCUGAUGUCAGACACACACUGACUGCAGCUGUGUUCAUCUCCUCCACCCUCUGUCCUCUCUCCUCCACCCUCUGUCCUGUCCUCUCUCCUCCACCCUCUGUCCUCUCCUCCACCCUCUGUCCUCUCUCCUCCACCCUCUGUCCUCUCCUCCACCCUCCGUUCUGCCCCUCUCCUUCACCCUCUGUCCUCUCUCCUCCACCCUCUCCUCCACCCUCUGUCCUCUCUCCUCCACCCUCUCCUCCACCCUCUGUCCUCUCCUCCACCCUCUGUCCUCUCUCCUCCACCCUCUCCUCCACCCUCUGUCCUCUCCUCCACCCUCUGUCCUCUCUCCUCCACCCUCUCCUCCACCCUCUGUCCUCUCCUCCACCCUCUGUCCUCUCCUCCACCCUCUGUCCUCUCCUCCACCCUCUGUCCUCUCCUCCACCCUCUGUCCUCUCUCCUCCACCCUCUGUCCUCCUCCUCCACCCUCUGUCCUCUCCUCCACCCUCUGUCCUCUCCCCCUUCCUCCCACCCUCUGUCCUCUCUCCUCCACCCUCUGUCCUGCCCCUCUCCCCCUCCUCCACUCUCUAUCCUUUCCCUCUCCUCCACCCUCUGUCCUGUCAGCUCUCCUCCACCCUCUCCCUCUCCUCCACCCUCUAUCCUUUCCCUCUUCUCCAGCCUCUGUCCUGUCAGCUCUCCUCCACCCUCUCCCUCUCCUCCACCCUCUGUCCUGCCCCUCUCCUCCACCCUCUGUCCUGUUCCUCUCCUCCACCCUCUGUCCUGUUCCUCUCCUCCACCCUCUGUCCUCUCCUCCACCCUCUGCCCUGUCCCUCUUCUCCACCCUCUGUCCUGCUCCUCCACCCUCUCCUCCACCCUCUGUCCUGCUCCUCCACCCUCUCCUCCACCCCUCUGUCCUGCUCCUCUCCUCCACCCUCUGUCCUCUCCUCCACCCUCUCCUCCACCCUCUGUCCUGCUCCUCCUCCUCCACCCUCUGUCCCUGCUCCUCUCCUCCUCCCUCUGUCCUCUCCUCCACCCUCUCCUCCCCCUCUGUCCUGUUCCUCUCCUCCACCCUCUGUCCUCUCCCUCCACCCUCUUCUCCACCCUCUCCUCCACCCUCUGUCCUCCUCCUCCACCCUCUGUCCUGUUUCCCUCUCCUCCACCCUCUGUCUCUCCUCCACCCCUCUGCCCUGUCCUCUUCUCCACCCUCUGUCCUGCUCCUCCACCCUCUCCUCCACCCUCUGUCCUGCUCCUCCACCCUCUCCUCCACCCUCUGUCCUGCUCCUCUCCUCCACCCUCUGUCCUCUCCUCCACCCUCUCCUCCACCCUCUGUCCUGCUCCUCUCCUCCACCCUCUGUCCUCUCCUCCACCCUCUCCUCCACCCUCUGUCCUGCUCCUCUCCUCCACCCUCUGUCCUCUCCUCCACCCUCUCCUCCACCCUCUGUCCUGUUCCUCUCCUCCACCCUCUGUCCUCUCCCCCACCCUCUUCUCCACCCUCUCCUCCACCCUCUGUCCUCUCCUCCACCCUCUGUCCCUCUCCUCCACCCUCUGUCCUGUUCCUCUCCUCCACCCUCUGUCCCUCUCCUCCACCCUCUGUCCUCCACUCCACCCUCUUCUCCACCCUCUGUCCUGUCAGCUCACCUCCAACAACUGUUGUGGCCAGUUGCACAACAAAGCUCUCUCUCUCUCUCUUCUUCCCCCUCCUCUCUCUGGUUGAGGCCCCCGGCCGGCACGAGGAACGAGUUAAUUAAUAUUGGCUCUUGUUUGGUCGAGUUAAUGAAUGAGUGA